GAUGAAGAACGUAGCGAAAUGCGAUAAGUAAUGCGAAUUGCAGAAUUCAGUGAGUCAUCGAAUCUUUGAACGCACAUUGCGCCCUGUGGUAUUCCGGGGGGCAUGCCUGUUCGAGCGUCAUUAUAACCCCUCAAGCUCAGCUUGGUGUUGGGGCCUGCCGACUGGCAGCCCUUAAAAUCAGUGGCGGCGCCAUCUGGCUCUAAGCGUAGUAAUUUCUCUCGCUAUAGAGUCCCGGUGGAUGCUUGCCAGCAACCCCCAACUUUCUAUGGUUGACCUCGGAUCAGGUAGGGAUACCCGCUGAACUUAAGCAUAUCAAUAAGCGGAGGA
rnacentral:misc_RNA from 1 species